UUUUUUUUUUUUUUGAGACAGGGUUUUGCUCGUUGCCCAGGCUGCAGUGCAAUGGUGCGGUCUUGGCUCACUGCAACCUCCACCUCCCAGGUUCAAGCGAUUCUCCUGCCUCAGCCUCCCGGGAGGCUGAGGUAGGCGGAUGGCUUGAGCUUAGGAAGUCAAGGCUGCAGUGAGCCAUGAUUGCAGCACUGCAUUCCAGCCUCGCGACCCUGUCUCAAAAAAAUAAAUAAAAUGCAAAGAGGUACAAGGAUGGCUAGUCGUCUAGUCAAAAGUAGUAAGGAUAUGUAGAAAAAGGCAGGACCAAGAAGAAAUAAUGUCAUAAAGACAAACAUGUUGAUUCAUCUAACUUGUGUGUUUCAAGGAAAGAAAAUAUUUCAAAUCAGGUGUUCUUAUCCUGAGAUCCACUGACCUGAAGCAACCUGGGGUUGAAAUGAAGCCCUGAUUCCUAAAGGAUUCUAUGACCUUUAGUGAGGUUUAGUGACCUUCACUGUGAGGUUAAGAACCGUCACAGUGAAGUCUAGUUCAUUUUCAUCUAUAAACCUACAUGUACUAUAACACCACCUUGUAGUCCAAGUAUUCAUAGUACACUACUCCCUGCAAAAAAAAAAAAAAAAAAAAAAAAAAAAUGAUUUUAAGACUGUUCCAAAGGCAUACAAGCAAUUAAAAGACAAUCACACCCAACAUAAAAGCUCACAGAUAUGUAAAGAUUCCAUUUAUAUGAAUAUCCAGAAUAGGUAAAUCCACAGACACCAAAAGCAGACUGGCAGUUAUCAAGGGUUAGCGGGUAGGGGUAGGGGCAGUAACUGCUUAAUGGGUACAUAGUUUCCUUUU
rnacentral:antisense_RNA from 1 species